GGGGAUUUUCCGCAAUGGGCGAAAGCCUGACGGAGCAAUACCGCGUGAGGGAGGAAGGCUCUUGGGUCGUAAACCUCUUUUCUCAGGGAAGAAAAAAAUGACGGUACCUGAGGAAUAAGCAUCGGCUAACUCCGUGCCAGCAGCCGCGGUAAUACGGAGGAUGCAAGCGUUAUCCGGAAUGAUUGGGCGUAAAGCGUCCGCAGGUGGCAACGUAAGUCUGCUGUUAAAGAGUGAGGCUCAACCUCAUAAGAGCAGUGGAAACUACAUCGCUAGAGUACGUUCGGGGCAGAGGGAAUUCCUGGUGUAGCGGUGAAAUGCGUAGAGAUCAGGAAGAACACCGGUGGCGAAAGCGCUCUGCUAGGCCGUAACUGACACUGAGGGACGAAAGCUAGGGGAGCGAAUGGGAUUAGAUACCCCAGUAGUCCUAGCCGUAAACGAUGGAUACUAGGCGUGGCUUGUAUCGACCCGAGCCGUGCCGUAGCUAACGCGUUAAGUAUCCCGCCUGGGGAGUACGCACGCAAGUGUGAAACUCAAAGGAAUUGACGGGGGCCCGCACAAGCGGUGGAGUAUGUGGUUUAAUUCGAUGCAACGCGAAGAACCUUACCAAGGCUUGACAUGUCGCGAAUCUUCUGGAAACAGAAGAGUGCCUUCGGGAGCGCGAACACAGGUGGUGCAUGGCUGUCGUCAGCUCGUGUCGUGAGAUUUUGGGUUAAGUCCCGCAACGAGCGCAACCCUCGUUUUUAGUUGCCAGCAUUAAGUUGGGCACUCUAGAGAGACUGCCGGUGACAAACCGGAGGAAGGUGGGGAUGACGUCAAGUCAGCAUGCCCCUUACGUCUUGGGCUACACACGUACUACAAUGCUACGGACAGAGGGCAGCGAGCACGCGAGUGCAAGCAAAUCCCGUAAACCGUGGCUCAGUUCAGAUCGCAGGCUGCAACUCGCCUGCGUGAAGGUGGAAUCGCUAGUAAUUGCAGGUCAGCAUACUGCAGUGAAUUCGUUCCCGGGCCUUGUACACACCGCCCGUCACACCAUGGAAGCUGGUAGUGCCCGAAGUCAUUACUCCAACCUUUCGGGGAGGAGGAUGCCUAAGGCAGGACUGGUGACUGGGGGAAGUCGUAACAAGGUAGCCGUACCGGAAGGUGUGGCUGGAUCACCUCCUU
rnacentral:rRNA from 2 species